rnacentral:rRNA from 1 species
GGGAAGCGGCGAACGGGUGAGUAACACUUAGGUGAUCUGCCCAUCAGACGGGGACAACGAUUGGAAACGAUCGCUAAUACCGGAUAGGACGAAAGUUUAAAGAUGCUCCUGGCAUCACUGAUGGAUGAGCCUGCGGCGCAUUAGCUAGUUGGUGGGGUAAAGGCCUACCAAGGCGACGAUGCGUAGCCGACCUGAGAGGGUGAACGGCCACACUGGGACUGAGACACGGCCCAGACUCCUACGGGAGGCAGCAGUAGGGAAUCUUCGGCAAUGGGCGAAAGCCUGACCGAGCAGCGCCGCGUGAAUGAAGAAGGCCUUCGGGUUGUAAAAUUCUGUUAUAAGGGAAGAAAGGUGAUAGGAGGAAAUGACUAUCAAUUGACGGUACCUUAUGAGAAAGCCACGGCUAACUACGUGCCAGCAGCCGCGGUAAUACGUAGGUGGCAAGCGUUAUCCGGAAUUAUUGGGGUAAAGAGCGCGCAGGUGGUUAAUUAAGUCUGAUGUGAAAGCCCACGGCUUAACCGUGGAGGGUCAUUGGAAACUGGUUGACUUGAGUGC